rnacentral:misc_RNA from 1 species
GACGAUUUCAUCUCUUUCAUGAGCUUUUCUUGAUUUUUUGCAAGCUCCUGCUCCUUGGCUGCUGCCGUCCUCCUUAGUUUGGCAGCUUGUGCAAACGUUGAAGGCUGUGACAUGGCAUUCGCUUCCUUUUGCAGCUGCUUAAUUUCUGCACGCAACUUCAACUCCGCAGCAUUAACAGCAACUCUACUGGUAUUGAGUUCGAC